rnacentral:rRNA from 1 species
ACAGCAGUCGCCACGGGAAUACGAGGGGGGCAAGCGUUGUUCGGAAUUAUUGGGCGUAAAGGGUGCGUAGGCGGCUUGACAAGUCUUGUGUGAAAUCUAUGGGCUCAACCCAUAGUCUGCACGGGAAACUGUCGGGCUUGAGAAUGGGAGAGGUGAGUGGAAUUUCCGGUGUAGCGGUGAAAUGCGUAGAUAUCGGAAGGAACACCUGUGGCGAAAGCGGCUCACUGGACCAUUUCUGACGCUGAUGCACGAAAGCUAGGGGAACAAACAGGAUUAGAUACCCGAGUAGUCCCUGUCUCUUAUAU